UACAGAGGUGGCAAGCGUUGUUCGGAAUUACUGGGCGUAAAGGGCUCGUAGGCGGCCAACUAAGUCAUACGUGAAAUCCCUCGGCUUAACCGGGGAACUGCGUCUGAUACUGGAUGGCUUGAGUUUGGGAGAGGGAUGCGGAAUUCCAGGUGUAGCGGUGAAAUGCGUAGAUAUCUGGAGGAACACCGGUGGCGAAGGCGGCAUCCUGGACCAACACUGACACUGAGGAGCGAAAGCCAGGGGAGCAAACGGG
rnacentral:rRNA from 1 species